CGCUUGCGGUCUCCACGCAGAAUCCCUGCCCUGGAUGGCGCUCUGCACUCUGGGAUCUGUGGUACUCUAAGGGCCCCUAGCAGUCCCUGGCGUUCCGCUUAUGCCGGCGUCCCUGCAGCCAGCCCGCCUUGGUGAGAUGACGAGUCCCCCGGUGCCCGUCAGCAGUUUUUCCCCUUCUUCCUGCAGGUGUUUCCCCGAGGGCUGACGGAGUGAGGCGCGCUGAGCCCAGGUCGGGGCCGCAGGCCAUAGGGAAUAGGGUUGGAGUAGGCCUGUGCCCUUGGGGAAAUCGCAAAACACAAAAACAACCGAAUGAACUGAGCCUUGGAGGACGUUGUGCUAAUGGGUUUACUUUCAUUAUCUCGCACUCUUAUAGGCUCCCAGUCCAAAACCCAAGCUCUCUUAGACCUACAUGCAACUCAAGAAACCACUGAAUUCCUGUAGGAUUUCUACCAUGGAGUCUUUAUAUGAGCCUCAUCAUGCAUCAUGCAAACACAAGAGCUGACUUUCACACAGGGUCAGUAGGCAGCUACUUCCAUGGAAGAAGCUAUUUCCGUGGAAUAAUUGGAAAGAUGUGUAUUUCUUUAUACUUCAUGAUCCCUCCUACAUUACAGUGCUUGAAGGACCCAUUAUUCUGG
rnacentral:lncRNA from 1 species